rnacentral:rRNA from 1 species
CCUACGGGAGGCAGCAGUGAGGAAUAUUGGUCAAUGGACGAGAGUCUGAACCAGCCAAGUAGCGUGAAGGAUGACUGCCCUAUGGGUUGUAAACUUCUUUUAUAAAGGAAUAAAACGAGGCACGUGUGCCUUUUUGCAUGUACUUUAUGAAUAAGGAUCGGCUAACUCCGUGCCAGCAGCCGCGGUCAUUCGGAGGAUUCGUGCGUUUUCGGGAUUUUUUGGGGUUAAAGGGAGCGUAGAUGGGUUGUUAAGUUAGUUGUUCAAAUGUGCGGCUUAACCGUAAAAUUGCAAUUGAUACUGGCAGUCUUGAGUACAGUUGAGGUAGGCGGAAUUCGUGGUGUAGCGGUGAAAUGCUUAGAUAUCACGAAGAACCCCGAUUGCGAAGGCAGCUUACUAAACUGUGACUGACAUUGAUGCACGAAAGUGUGGGUAUCAAACAGGAUUAGAUACCCUAGUAGUC